rnacentral:other from 2 species
UCGGUUAUAAAUCAUCUCCUUGAUUUAUAAACAUGGUAAUCCCCUGAGUGAACAACGAAUUGCUGUGUGUAGUCUUUGCCCAUCUCCCACGAUGGGCCUUUUUUUAU